AAGCUGAGCCUCCCUGGAAGUGACGAUUUUGUCAUAUUUAUCCAGUGACCGUCUCGCUUUGCUGCAUGAAAAAAACCUGCUCAGUGCUGUCUCAUAGGAAUGCUCGGAGGCUCCGCGUCCACCGUGCUGACACAAGAAUGUAUGACAGGGAGGUCGCGUUUGAAAACUGGUGAUAAACAGCUGAUGUUUUAACAUCAUAGUUAUGAUGUUAACCGCAUCCUAGCGCACGUUUAAUGCAAUGUAAAUUCUUAUUUUAAUGUAAAUUCAAUAGUGCAUAUUUGACCAUUUCUUCUAUGAAAUUUUGGGGGAAGUUCAGCCUCCCUUGUUGUCUCAGCAAUCGCCCCUGACACACACACACACACACACACACACACACACACACACACACACACACACACACACACACACACACACACCUAAAUGAGCCAUGUGUAGACUGGCCCUCCUCUCCAUGCAGUCAGAAUCAAAACAUGAUCCUGCGCGGGAGGAAGGAUUGAUUUUGGCUUUUCCCCACAGAGAAGAUGGCUGGCCAAAUUCCUGAAUAGAAUCAGUCCGAAGUUCAUAGAGUUCAUAGAUGGUUAGUAUCGUGUAUACCUCUGCACAAAUGUGUCCAAAACUCCAAAUGAAAAUUGAAAAGGCUCUAAAGGGACCAGAGGUAUUAACAAAACAGAGUACCUACAAACUUAAAACACAUAUUUGGAAGCUCACAGUCCGAGCAGUGUGAUUAGCUUUUCAGUUAAUUUGUUCAGAAUAUUUCCAGGCUCCAGCCAGGGCUGCUGUGGCAGCUGAAGCAGCAAGAGAGGGUCAGGAAGGGAUAACUGUAGGGGAUGAAGAGUGAGAUGUGGGAAAGGAGGAGGACAGCAGCCAACAUGCUGCUGUGGAAAGAGCCAGUUUGGGCAGAAGCAACAGGUGAGAUUGACAGCAGACAUAUAAAUGCAGAGAAGGUCAGAAAAGCAGAUAACUCAUUUCUAUUCUUCUGUGCCUAGUAGAGGCACUGGAUUUUAUCCAGAGCUGCUCAAUAAGCUUCACUUUAAGCCUUUGAUGUACCACAGAAAGCAUGUUAAAUUUAGUAUCUGCAUGUGCCCUCUUAUGUAUAAACUAUUAGGAAUAAAGUUUUAAUUUCUCUUUUUUGUUUUUCAUCUCAUAUAUGUAAUUUCAAGAUUAAAAAUGAUCACAAAUAAAAAUAAAUGUUCCUAUUCAUAUUUUGAGCAUGAUUGCUUCACUUUUUAAGGUGUUUUUUUGACUGUGCAGGAACCAUAAUAAGCCUGCACCUAAGAGAGGUCAAAGAGAGCUUUUGCUGAGCUUGGAGCAGUCAAAUACACAAGAGACAUAAUAAUUAGUACCGACAGCGAAUAGUAAUAGUCGCAUUAAAAAAUCAAUUUUUCAAAAAUAAAACGACUAUUCGAAAUUCGAAAAUCGUGACCCAUCCCUAAUCACUAUGGAGCAGCGCCAGGACAGCAUCAGAUGCCAGGCCACUCUUGCAUCUGGCAUCAAACUGAAGGACUCCUUUGAGCCCACUGUUGUUUUGGAGCAUGAGGCAAUCAUUGCUCUCUUUGCACAAGACCAUCAAGCCCCAAUUGAGGAACCUGAGUGCUGUCCCUUGGUGCACUGGCAGAGGAGGCAAUGGGGAGAAGAUGUCCAGUGGCAAAGUGACUCCAUACAUUCUGUGCUAAGUACAGAUUUGUAGCAGCAGUACAAGUUUAGGUUCCUCUCACAAUUCAGACUCUUAGGAGCAUCAAAGAGGCCGGACAGACUCCACUCACUGGAUCAUUCCUGUCCCGCCUCCAUUAGAACCCCGAUGAGCCCAAAGACGUUGAGAGUUCAACAUACGUACAGGGCGAGAUGUCCAAGAAGUGCCUAGCGAGGAGCAGUGGGCCAGAAUCCUGCAGGAGGUUACAUAACUGGCCUGGAAACACACCUGGACAGGAGGUUCCAUGAUCUGGACGUCUUUGGGGCCCUCAGUGCUUUGGCUCUGCAGUCAGCUGCUCUACAGGAUGAUACUACUUGUUCAAAAAUCAUAUUUUCAUUGGGGCAUUCAGAAGUACUGCUGGGCUAACCUCUGCCCAUGCCUGAGCCUCCUUGUUAGCAUUGCACUAGCUGUCCCUGUUUCCAUUGUGAACUGUGAAUGUGACUUUUUGAUGAUUAACAGGGAAAUAGCAUUACUUUGAAAAGCACAACAAAUAACUACACAUUUUCUUUAUGUUAGGAUCUCCAUAAUGGUCCCUGUCUUCCUUGGUCCCAGAGGCCUUCCCAUAUGAUAGGGCGUUGGAAUGUUUUUUCAGAAUCCCCAUAAAAUAAAAUAUUAAGACAAAGGGUGCAAACUUUGCAACAAGUUGGCUGUGGAGCAGUCACUUAAAGUGUAGCAUACUCACUUUAUAUAUACUGUAUUUUUUAAAUUAUUUGACACAGUGUUGCAGUUUCAAAAAUGUUCUGGCACACCAUUAAGUCUUAGUUACGGGGGUACAGGAUUAAAAACUCUUUACUCAGAAAGAUUGUGUAUAUGAACAUAGUCUCAUGAAGGCCUGAGGACCAAAAUGUGUAGCCUGCUUAACAUUUUUUCUGAACACCAGUUUUGCCUCCGAGGACCAGAUUUACUAAGAAAAUGACACUGAAGUUAAUGCAAUGCAGCUUUUAUUAUGUAUUUAUUACGUUCAGUUAAAAGUCACCCAUUUCAUCCAGCUAAAAUGAUUUAUUUUCCUUGAUGUCAGCUUUCAUGAAAGAUGCUGUUGCAAAAUGGCUGCAGUAUCAAUAUCAUCCACCAGAUAAACUUGAUAACAUGUUGACACAAAUAUUAUGGUUUACUAGCAGUUUGUUUAUAGAGGAUAUCCCUUAUAUAAAUAAACAAUUAUUAAAUAAUAUAGCAACAAUACGAUUAUGACCUUCCAGAAAUUCUCACAAUUAGAUGGUCCUUUAUGUACACCACUAGAAUGUAAUAAAAAUUACUGUAUGAUCAUCCAACAUUUGGGAAACAAUGCUAUAGCUAAAAAACCAAGACAACAAUUAGUAUGCUGCCCAUAUAUUAGAGACCAGUCAAUAUAACUUAGAUAAGUACAAUAUCAUUCCAAUCAAGUGGUGGCUGUAGCUCAGUCCAUAGGGACUUGGGUUGGGAACUGGAGGGUCACCUGUUCAAGUCCCCAUCCGGCCCAAAUAUGGAGCGUGGACUGGUGGCUGGGGAGGUGCCAGUUCACCUCCUGGGCACUGCCGAGGUGCCCCUGAGCAAGGCACUGAACCCCCCUAACCGCUCGGGGCGCCUGUCUAUGGCAGCUCCCCUCACUCUGACAUCUCUCUACUUUGUCAUCUCUACUUCGUGCAUGUAUAGGUCCUGUUUGUGCAUUUGUGUGUCUUUCGGACCUGUGUGUUAAUGACAAAAGAGUGAAAAAACUGAAUUUCCCCUCAGGGGGAUUAAUAAAGUAUAUAAAAUUAAAUUAGAUUAAAAAAAAAUACCUCUAAUAAGUGGGAAGACUCUAUUAAUAUAACAAUUCUAUGGAAAGAUGUGUUUAACAUUAUUUAUGAAGAGAGAGGAGGAGCGCACACCAGGGUUGGCGAGGUGCUGACCAUUGACGAAAAAAUACAAAUUUGAAAAAAGAUGUCAGGCGAACACUCUAAAAAUAUUUUCUUUUAUUCAAAUACCAACGUUUCGACUAGACCGUCUUCAUCAGGGUUUUUUUAAGUAAGGGAUAAUGUAUAAUGAGCCGGUGAAUACUGGCCUUCAGGGGAAUAGAACCCCUCCGCUGCGCGUCGGGGUUCUAUUCCCCUGUCGGGAGUUAUUUUCCCAGUAUUCACCGGCUCAUUAUACAUUAUCCCGCUUAUUACACGGCUAAUUAUCAGUUAAAUAAAUAAUGUUGUCUGCCUCUGCGAAGUGCAUUAAAACCGACCGGAUUCCACAACUUUUGGUGAAAGUUUUGUACUCACCCAGGCUUAGUGGACUGAACCGAGGCAUAAAACUCGCGUAAAAUGUCAUUAAGCAUGACUGCCGAGUGUGUAUUCAAUUCCGGGUUCUUUUGUUUUUGGCAGAGAAAGUCCGUAGGUAUUCUUUUUCUUCAGCGGCAUCCGUUAAAAUCAGCCACUUCUGUUUGUUUUUUCCCUCGGAAGUUGUUUGACAGCUGCAGUGUUGCAGGGCAGCAUCCCUAGCAACGCUGGGCUACAUAGCAACUGUGUGUAAUGACCGUUGCUACUAGCAGCGGUCAUUACACAGUAAUAUCAGACCGCAGAAUGCCGCUACUGACCAAUCAGAAUACAGCAUUUAAUAGAGCCGUGUAAUAACAUUAUUUAUAACACGACCUAAGAUGUAUCUGUACGCAUAAUACAAAGGUGGAUAAUAGAGCACAUAUUACAGCACAAACUUCUCGUGUUUAUUUAAAUACAAUCAAUUUUAGCAGAUGGUUAGAUGUUAGCUUUCACUGUUAUUUUAUUGGUAACCUGAACGCAGGCUACUGUGGGCCAUAGCCAUUGCCAAAACAGUGAGAUACCUGAUGUAAGCUCUGUAUUAGCCGCUUGUGAGUCUUCUCCUGUUCACCAGCAGGAAUAACAACACAUCCCUCCUUAGCUCUUAGCCAGCUACAGCUUUGCCAUCUCCCUCAGUUUACCAAGAUGACAAUAUGUUCACUUUGUUAUAAUCUAAGACAUCUAUAAACUAGCGAUGCAUGAUAUUGGAUUUUUUUGCCAAUAGCUGGUAUGCUGAUAUGUAACACUUCAUUUGGCUGUUAACCAAUAUUGAUUUAUUCACUUUCUUACCCAACUAAAUUUAUUGAUCCUCAAGUGUCUUCUGUAGUGUAAUUAACAUUAUAUUAUACAUGCAUACUCUUAUUGUGAUGGCCCACCAGCAGAUGGAAACAUGAAAUACAAUGUUUUCCAAUGUAUGUAAUAUUCAUUCAUUGUGCAAAUUAAGAAAAAGCAUGUUGGAAGAUUCUGAUAGCUGAUUUUAAAGCCGAUAUUGGCAGAUACCAAUGACGUGCCGAUAUUAUCGUGCACAAAAUGGUCAGUGAUCUGAUUUAUUGUGCUAUGUUAUUUUCUCCUAUUUUUUAAUACAGAGAUUGAAGAUUUUGGAUAAUUUGUAUUAUAACCUACUAUAUUAUGAGCUCUGAUGUAUAAGUUGAUUUGUUCAGAUCAAUGACCUAUUAAACUACUACUUCCAAGUGUU